GGCAUAAUUAACAUGCUGCAAAUCCGUGUGUAUUUAAAGAGGUUAAUCGUAAUCGUCUCAUUGGCAUCAGUGAAAGAACUUUCAGAACACGAACAAUGCACAGUUUGGUACGGCGAUUUUGAAAACUGAUUUGCAAUUCCUGCCGUGCAUGUUACGUCAUCAUGGACUGACUGACUGAAUGUUCCGAAGAUUUCAAAUACGUCAUCAACUUGAAAAAGGUUAAAGAAAAUUUCAUAAUAUUCCAGUUUUCAAGAAAACUGGCCACGACAUCAACCGACUAAGGUGGGAAAAAAUGAAUACAAGCCGGUAGGCGCCCGGUUGGAUCUCCGCCAUCGCUUGAGGCCCG